rnacentral:rRNA from 1 species
AACGUAGGACGCGAGCGUUAUCCGGAGUACUGGCGUAAAGCGCGGGACAGGCGGUCUGACAAGUCUGAUGUGAAAUCUCCGGGACUUAACCGGGAGAGGCCAUUGGAAACUGACAGGCUGGAGGGCAGUAGAGGUAGGCGGAAUCCGGGUGGAGUGGUGAAAUGCGUAGAGAUCCGGAGGAACACCAGAGGCGAAGGCGGCCUACUGGGCUGCACCUGACGCUGAGCCGCGAAAGCCAGGGAGGCGAACGGGAAUUAGACGGUACCCGUGUAGUCCGAGACAAUCCU